ensembl:lncRNA
GACCCCAUAGAGACCCCAUAGAGCCCCUUAGAGCCCCAUAGAGACUCCAUAGAGCCCCAUAGGACCCCAUAGAGCCCCAUAGGGACUCAUAGGACUGCAUUGGACUCCAUAGAGCUCCCAUAGACCCCCAUAGGACCCCAUAGCCCCCCCAUAGAGCCCCAUAGGGACCCCAUAGAGCCCCAUAGGGACCCCAUAGAGCUCCAUAGAGCCCCAUUGACCCUCAUAGGGCCCCAUAGAGCCCCAUUGAGCCCCCAUAGAGCCCCAUAGGACUCCAUAGAGCCCCAUAGGAGUUCAUUGGCCCCCAUAGGACUGCAUUGGACUCCAUAGAGCCGCAUAGAGCUCCAUAGGACUGCAUUGGCCGCCAUAGACCCCCAUAGACCCCCAUAAGCCCCCAUAAGGACCCCAUAGGACCCCAUAGGGACCCCAUAGAGACCCCAUAAGACCCCAUAAGACCCCAUAGGACCCCAUAACCUCCAUGUCCCCCUGCAGGGGCGCCGUGAGUUGGCGCUGAGCUCCUUCUGGUUGGCCAACUGCUGUAUAAGGACCCCAUAGAGCCCCAUAGAGACCCAUAGAGCCCCAUAGGACCCCAUAGAGACCCCACAGAGACCCAUAGGGACUCAUAGGACUGCAUUGGACUCCAUAGAGCUCCCAUAGACCCCCAUAGGACCCCAUAGCCCCCCCAUAGAGACCCCAUAGGACCCCAUAGAACCUCAUAGGGCCCCAUAGAGCCCAAUUGAGCCCCACUGAUCCCCCAUAGAGCCCCAUAGGAGUUCAUUGGCCCCCAUAGGACUGCAUUGGACUCCAUAGAGUUCCAUAGGACUGCAUUGGCCCCCAUAGGCUGCCAUUAGGACCCCAUAGAGCCCCAUAGAGACCCCAUAGAGCCCCAUAGGGACUCAUAGGGCUGCAUUGGACUCCAUAGAGCCCCAUAGGACUGCGUUGGCCCCCAUAGGACUGCAUUGGACUCCAUAGAGCCCCAUAGGACUGCAUUGGCCCCCAUAAGCUGCCAUUGGGACCCCAUAGGACCCCAUAGAGCCCCCAUAGACCCCCCCAUAGAGCCCAUAGGGACUCAUAGGGCUGCAUUGGACUCCAUAGAGCUCCCAUAGACCCCCAUAGGACUGCAUUGGCCCCCAUAGAGCCCCCAUAGACCCCCAUAGAGCCCCCAUAGACCCCCAUAAGCCCCCAUAAGGACCCCAUAGGGACCCCAUAGAGACCCCAUAGGACCCCAUAGGACCCCAUAACACCCCAUAACCUCCAUGUCCCCCUGCAGGGGCGCCGUGAGUUGGCGCUGAGCUCCUUCUGGUUGGCCAACUGCUGUAUAAGGACCCCAUAGAGCCCCAUAGGACCCCAUAGGACCCCAUAGGACCCCAUAGGACCCCAUAGAGCCCCAUAGAGACCCCAUAGAGACCCAUAGAGACCCCAUAGAGCCCCAUAGGGACUCAUAGGACUGCAUUGGACUCCAUAGAGCCCCAUAGGACCCCAUAGAGACCCCAUAGGGACCCCAUAGAGAUGCCAUGGAGCUACAUAGAGACCCCAUAGAGCCCCAUAGGACUGCAUUGGCCCCCAUAGGCUGCCAUUGGGACCCCAUAGGACCCCAUAGAGCCCCAUAGGACCCCAUAGAGACCCCAUAGAGCCCCAUAAGGACUCAUAGGACUGCACUGGACUCCAUAGAGCCCCAUAGGAC